GUAUAGUAAGAAACUAUUAUAUAAAUUGGCUAUUACAUUGGCUAUAGAUGAUUUGGAGUUUGUAGUGGGCUAUACUAUUAGACUUGCUCACUACUAACUCUAAAUCAUCUAUACGUAAUGUAAUAGCCAAUUCAUAUAAUAGUUGUUUACUAUACUAUU
rnacentral:misc_RNA from 1 species